rnacentral:lncRNA from 1 species
GGAGAAGCAGGCUCCGUGCAGGGACCCCAUGUGGGACUUGAUCCUGGGACCCCAGGAUCACCCCGGGUGGAAGGCAGGCACUAAACCGCUGAGCCACCGGGGGUCCCUGAACUAGAUUUUAAAACAAUGAUUAUAAACUAGCUGGGCUUGAAACACUAGAGAAUCCUUUACUGGAGAAAUUAAAGAACUAAAAUCUAAUCCGGCUGAAAUUUAAAAUGCUAUUAUUGAGAUGUAGUGAAAAUAGAGGCUCUAACAACAUGGAUAAAUGAGGCAGAAGAGAGAUUCAGUAAUACAGAAGACAAAAUGUUGGAAAAUAAGGAAGCUAAAAAGAAGAGAGAAAGACUACCAGGUCAUAAAGGGAGACUUUGAGAAAUCAGUGAUUACAAAAGCAAAAUAAAAUAUGGAUUAUGGAGGUUUCAGAAGAUGAAAGGGGAGGGUAGAAGGUUUAUUUGAACAAAUUAUAGCUGAGAACUUCCCUAACCUGGAGAAGGAAGCAGGCUAUUCAAGUCUAGGUGGUAUAGAGAACCUCCCUAAAAAUGAGUAAAAAUAGAUCAACAUUUCAACAUAUAAUAGUGAAGUGUGCAAAUUUCAGGGAGAAAGAGAAAAUUCUUCUUCUUCUUUUUUUUUUUUUUUUUUGAGAAAGAGAAAAUUCUAAAAGCAGCUAGAAGAGUAGAAACAAGACUGGCAACAGACCUGACCACAGAGACCUGGCAGGCCAGAAAUGACUGGCACAAUAUAGUCAAUGUGCUAAAUGGGAAAAAUUUGUAGCCAAGAAUAUUUUAUCCAGCAAGGCUGCCAUUCAGAAUAGAAGGAGAGAAGGAGAAGGAAACAAAAGAGUUUCCAAAACAAACAAAAACUAAAGGAAUUCAUGAACACUAAACCAGCCCGGCAAAUACUAAAGAAGAUGCUUCAAGUGAAGAGAGAGGUGAAAAGUAACAAAGACCAGAGAGGAACAGAGGCAAUUUCCAAGAAGGGUGACUUUACAGGUAAUACAAUGCACUAAAUUCAUAUCUUUCAAUAAUUACUCUGAAGAUAAAUGGACAAAAUGCUCCAAUCAAAAGAUGUAGGGCAAGAGAUUGGAUAAAAAGAAUAAGAUCCAUUAAUAUGCUGUGUACAAAAGACUCAUUUUAGACCUAAAGACACCUCCAGAUUGAAAGUGAGGGAGUGGAGAACCAUUUAUCAUACUAAUAAACAUUAAAACAAAGCUGAAGUAGUAACCAUCCUUAUAUCAAACUAGAUUUUAAACCCAAGACUGAAGUAAGAGAUGAAGAAAAAUGUUGCAUCAUAAUAAAAGGGUCUAUCCAAAAGAAGAUCGAACAAUUAUAAAUACUUAUGCCCCUAAAUUGGGUGCAGCCAAAUAUAUAAACCAAUUAAUAUCAAAAUUAAAGAAACACAUUGAUAGUAAUACAAUAAUAUCAGGGUAGUUUAACACCCCACUCACAGCAAUGGAUAGAUUGUGUAAGCAGAAGAUCAAGGAAACUAGGGCUUUGUAUGACACACUGGGCCAGAAGGACUUAGAUAUAUUUAGAGCAUUUCAUCCCAAAGCAACAGAAUAUACAUUCUUCUCAAGUGCACAUGGAAUAUUCUCCAGAGUAGAUCACUUAUUGGGUCACAAAUCAGGUCUCAACUAGUACCAAAAAAUUGGGAUUAUUCCUUGCAUAUCUUCAGACCACAGUGCUUUAAAACUUGUUAUCACUCAGAAGAGAAAAUUUGAAAGGAAUACAAAUAUGUAGAGGUUAAGAGCAUCCUACUAAAGAAUGAAUGGAUCAGCCAGGAAAUUAAAGAAGAAUUUAAAAAUACAUGAAAACAAAUGAAAAUGAAAACAGGUACUUCAGCACCUUUUGGGAUGCAGCCAAGGUGGUCCUCAGAGCAAAGUAUAUAGUAAUACAGGCCUUUCUCAAGAAACAAGAAAAGUCUCAAAUGCACAAGCUAAUUUCACAUGUAAAGGAGCUGGAAAAAGAACAGCAAAUAAAGCCUAAACCCAGCAG